rnacentral:rRNA from 3 species
GCAGAAUUCCGCGAAUCAUCGAGUCUUUGAACGCAAGUUGCGCCCGAGGCUUGUCCAAGGGCAUUUCCGNUAGAGCGUCACC